CAGCCGUAAACUAUGCGCGUUAGGUGUAUCGGUGACCACGAGUUACCGAGGUGCCGAAGGGAAACCGUGAAACGUGCCGCCUGGGAAGUACGGUCGCAAGGCUGAAACUUAAAGGAAUUGGCGGGGGAGCACCACAACAGGGUGGAGCCUGCGGUUUAAUUGGACUCAACGCCGGGAAGCUCACCGGAUAAGACAGCGGAAUGAUUGCCGGGCUGAAGACUCUGCAUGACUAGCUGAGAGGAGGUGCAUGGCGUAGACGUCU
rnacentral:rRNA from 1 species